rnacentral:rRNA from 1 species
GAUGAACGCUGGCGGCGUGCUUAAUACAUGCAAGUCGAGCGGACAGACGCGGCGCUUGUUCCUCUGACGAUAGCGGCGGACGGGUGAGUAACACGUGGAUAACCUACCUAUAAGACGGGGAACAUUUCGGGAAACCGGAGCUAAUACCGGAUAAUAUAUUGAAGCGCGGGGGUCAAUGGUGAAAGACGGUUUUUGGGUCUCGUCUAGAGGGAUCCGAGCCGCAUUGGCUAGUUGGUAAGGUCACGGCUUACCAAGGCGACGAUGCGUUGCCGACCUGAGAGGGUGAUCGGCCACACUGGAGCUGAGCCACGGUCCAGGCUCCUACGGGAGGCACCAGUAGGGAAUUUUCCGCAAUGGGCGAAAGCCUGACGGAGCAACGCCGCGUGAGUGAUGAAGGUCUUCGGAUCGUAAAACUCUGUUACUGGGGAAGAACAAAUGUGUAAGUAACUGUGCACGGCUUGACGGUACCUGAUCAGAAAGCCCCGGCUAACUACGUG